AAAUUAUUGACUACUUGUUUACGAUUACGAGUUGUAUUCGCAGUUGGAUUCCUCAUAAUUGGGAUAGGUCCACUGAAUUUUAUGGAGAAGAUGGUGCCUAUCUGUUUUGUCGUUAUUGAUAUUUGCUGUUUUGGCCGAUUGUUCAUUGUUACGAUAAUGAAGGGAAUGACGUGUGCAAUGAUGCCUAAAAGAACAAUUUGGAUGGUUGUCAUAGGCUCAUAACUUACCUCUUUUGCUCUCUCUCUAUUUAUAUCACUUAUCAACACUGAAAAAAUGCACCUGCUUCUUCUGUUUCUACGACAUUACAACCAUAUUCAAGUUCUGUUCCGUUUGAGAAGUGGAGACCCAGUUUGGAGGCAUAAUUUUAUAGCCUAUGCAUUUAUAAAGAUUUGAUUUUCAAUAGAAGAAACAGAUCCUUUUCUGCAUAAUCAUUUGUUCGUCUGCUGAAAGCAUGGCACAAGACUAUAGAGAGGCAUUAUUGAAGAAGAAUUAUUAUGAGAACUGUCCAGGAUGUAAGGUUGAUCAACUCAAAGAAUUGAGGAGAGGACUACCUAUUCGAGAGCUUGUUUCGAUAUGGAUUGUUGUGCUUUGUACUGCACUUCCAAUAUCAUCUCUCUUUCCAUUCCUCUAUUUCAUGGUUAGGGAUUUUAAGAUUGCAAAGCGGGAGGAAGAUAUUGGCUAUUAUGCUGGAUAUGUUGGGUCUUCAUUUAUGCUUGGGAGAGCUUUGACCUCCAUCUUUUGGGGGGUAGUAGCUGAUCGCUAUGGACGAAAACCUGUUAUAAUUAUGGGGACCUUCACUGUAGUUAUUUUCAACACUAUCUUUGGCCUUAGCACAAAUUUUUGGAUGGCUAUUAGUGCAAGGUUUCUGUUGGGGAGUUUGAAUGGUUUGCUUGGACCUAUAAAGGCAUAUGCAUGUGAAAUUUUCCGGGACGAACACCAAGCCUUAGGAUUGUCAACAGUGAGUACCUCAUGGGGUAUCGGAUUGAUCAUUGGCCCAGCUCUAGGAGGUUUCCUUGCUCAGCCAGCAGAGAAAUAUCCAAAUCUCUUUCCCAAGGAAUCUUUGUUUGGAAGGUUUCCAUACUUCCUGCCUUGUUUCUGUAUAUCAGUUUUUGCAUUGGGAGUCACUAUUGCUUCUUGCUGGCUUCCGGAAACAUUGCAUAUGCAUAAUGAAAACAGAUUUUUGAGUGAUAACUCAUUUGCUGCUAUGGAAACUGCAUCUAGUGGGUCUGACGGAAUUGAAAGCAGACCAGGCAGUGAAAGAAGCAAACGAGCUUCUGGAGAAAGCCUUAUAAGGAAUUGGCCUUUAAUGUCAUCUAUCAUUGUUUAUUGCGUCUUCUCUCUUCAUGAUAUGGCUUACACAGAGAUAUUUUCAUUAUGGGCUGUCAGCCCAAGAAAGUUUGGGGGGCUGAGCUAUUCAACUGAGGAUAUUGGGGCGGUUCUUGCCAUCUCAGGUUUCAGCCUUCUUGUCUUUCAACUCUCUCUAUAUCCAUACAUGGAAAGGAUUCUUGGACCUAUAACAAUAUCUCGCUUAUCUGGGGUUAUAUCUAUACCAUUGUUGGCAAGUUACCCUUUUAUUGCCAUGUUGUCAGGGUUCAGCCUUAGUCUUCUGUUAAAUUGUGCAUCUAUCAUGAAGAACGUUCUAUCUAGCUGUGCCAAAAUUUAUUGGCAUGAACAGUGUAGUUCUGGGUAAUUUUUUUUUUGGGUCAAGCUUCUACGUCGUUCUAGGAAGGAGGUGACUGUCACCACCCACUUGAAGAGGAAGAACACCAGCUGAUCGGCCUACGCCCGGAGUCUCGCAGCUGUCUAGUGAAGCGCGUGAGCUCACGCGCCUCCAGAAGUCUCGCGUCAGCUCGUGCAUCCUUUUUUUCAUUGAUUUCUCCAACCGCGCCUCUUGAUGAUGACCUUUCCUAUUCGGCGCGCCUCUGACCAACAUGUUUCCACACCUGGUGUCAAUUAUAACUAGCUUGUUCCUUCUGCAAAAUAGAGCUGUGGAUCAACACCAAAGAGGCGCUGCUAAUGGCAUUGCUAUGACAACAAUGUCUCUUUUUAAAGCAGCUGGUCCAGCUGGAGGUGGUGCCCU